rnacentral:rRNA from 1 species
GUGAACGCUGGCGGUAGGCCUAACCCCUGCCAGUCGCACGGCAGCACAGUAAGAGCUUGCUCUUACGGGUGGCGCGUGGCGGACGGGUGAGGAAUACAUCGGAAUCUACUUUUUCGUGGGGGAUAACGUAGGGAAACUUACGCUAAUACCGCAUACGACCUACGGGUGAAAGCAGGGGAUCUUCGGACCUUGCGCGAUUGAAUGAGCCGAUGUCGGAUUAGCUAGUUGGCGGGGUAAAGGCCCACCAAGGCGACGAUCCGUAGCUGGUCUGAGAGGAUGAUCAGCCACACUGGAACUGAGACACGGUCCAGACUCCUACGGGAGGCAGCAGUGGGGAAUAUUGGACAAUGGGCGCAAGCCUGAUCCAGCCAUACCGCGUGGGUGAAGAAGGCCUUCGGGUUGUAAAGCCCUUUUGUUGGGAAAGAAAAGCAGCAGGUUAAUACCCCGCUGUUCUGACGGUACCCAAAGAAUAAGCACCGGCUAACUUCGUG